CGGUGGUUUUGGGAUCGAGGCUUUACACAUGCAAGUCGAGGGGCAGCAUGAUCUUAGUUUGCUAAGGUUGAUGGCGACCGGGAAGGGAGCGUAACGCGUAUGCAACUUGCCUUACAGAGGGGGAUAACCCGUUGAAAGACGGACUAAAACCGCAUACACUUGCAUUAUUGCAUGAUAUUACAAGGAAAUAUUUAUAGCUGUAAGAUAGGCAUGCGUCCCAUUAGCUUGUUGGUGAGGUAACGGCUCACCAAGGCGACGAUGGGUAGGGGAACUGAGAGGUUUAUCCCCCACACUGGUACUGAGACACGGACCAGACUCCUACGGGAGGCAGCAGUGAGGAAUAUUGGUCAAUGGGCGAGAGCCUGAACCAGCCAAGUCGCGUGAAGGAAGACCGUCCUAAGGAUUGUAAACUUCUUUUAUACGGGAAUAACGGGCGAUACGAGUAUUGCAUUGAAUGUACCGUAAGAAUAAGCAUCGGCUAACUCCGUGCCAGCAGCCGCGGUAAUACGGAGGAUGCGAGCGUUAUCCGGAUUUAUUGGGUUUAAA
rnacentral:rRNA from 1 species